AUUACAGACAGCGGCCUAUGUGAGACUCAAUCUGCAGCGUUUUGAUUAUUAAUUUACAGCCAAUAUAUUGAUUUUUUUUUUUUUUUUUUUUUUUACCCCACAGAUGUUGGACAAUAAAGUCCGUAGCCUAAUAAUCAUAAGAUUCUGUAUGUGAAUAAGAGCAUGAAGAUUUGAAAUGAUAAUGUAUUCGGAUUAGAGUUUUGGAGAUAGUCCAGCUGUUCAGACAAAACAAAAACAAACAGACACAAACACGAGCUGGAAAUAAUCAUUCAGACACCUGCACCUCAAAAUAUUAUGUACAAAUCGAUAGUGUAUAACAUGUCAAAAAGAGACCAGAUUGUAUUUUGUUUUGCCUGGCUGUAUUUCUAGUAGGUGAUAACAGUUGCUUACAGUGUGGCAUGUAGUGUACAGUGGGGGAUAUAAUUAUUCUUGAGGAACAUGCUGCAUGCAGCUCCUAAAUUUGUUUCCAGAUUAAAAAAAUCACUUUGUUUAAAAAAUCUAAACAAUAUAGUUCAAAAUCAAAUAACAGAAGCAAAUAACAUAUUUUAUAGCCACACAUUCCUAUUAUUCAACAAUCUUUUGCAACAUUACACUUGAAAACACUUGACUUGCAGUCCUGCUGUUCCUACGUGACACUAUGAGGCUUUUAUUGUGAAAGCCGCAUCUCCUCUCUUCUGGUUUUAUUCUGUCUAUCUGAUUUGAUGCAGCUCUCCAGUAGCGGCUUGGAGGUCAGGCAGCUUUUCUCCCAACAGCCACAAAGCAGCAGCACAAAACUUCUGAGCAAUGGUUUCACCCGGAAACGCAAAACAAUAGUUUUUAAACCUCUUCUUAUUAAGAAAAUACCCGAGUGAAUGUAUUUGGCAGGUAGGAAGUUCAAAUGGCAGUCGGUUUAUACAUGAAUAAGGACUAAUCUUUUAUUUAGUCAUUGACUAAGCCACCUUUUUAAGCAAGGUGACCCCCGGCUGAUUGACACGUUUUAUGUUUAUGAAAUGUAUACAACUCUGUAAAAGCGUAGCCUAUGGUUUGGCUUUGCUGCCCUCUGGUGAUCAAAUGGGUUACUGCUGAUUCAACUCAAAAUAUUAUGCAUCCAUACCAAUUUGUAGAACUGAUAGCCUUUUUGUACACCCUAUGGUUUACUAUGGUAAAGUCCAGUAUGUUGUAUAAUUAUUAAAUUCUCUUUCCUGUCAGACGACUUGAUUCAUAAUCAUUGCUUAAACCGGAGUUAGGGAAAAUACUUAUUUUUAGUAAUGUAAAAACACUCUACUAUGAUUAAUAUUUUGUUCAACAUGGUUUACCAACAUAAAAGUAAAAUAACAACUAAACAAAUAAAUAAAACAUACAAACAUUAAAGGGACCGGAAGCACAUCUACGCUUACUUCCUCAUUGAGAAAUUAUGAAUCACGUGCCCCGCCCACCGCCGCUGCUUGCGCUAAAUUUACCGGUGAAGGAGCUAACAACAUAGUUAGCUUUAUUAGGAAACAUCAGAGAAACUCCGUCACACACACGUUGGAGGCUCAGUCAGACCCAGACUCAGAUGAGGAGUCUGUUGUGACCAAAAUCAGCGACUAGCAGACGUAUCAGGACGAUUUCGGUGGCCCCGGGAAAGAGCGAUGUGCACCAAGAUGGUUAGCGUUAAAGGAAACAUCGGAGAGAUUCAGCCAUACAAGUUUGAGCCCCAGUCAAACCCAGACUCGGGAGGAGGAGUCUGCAGCACAAUCAGUAAGGCUCAGCAAAAAGAGGACCAAAACUGUCCAACAUCUGUGGAUCAGACUGAACAGAAGUUCAUGGUUCAGCCCCAGACUGAACCCCCAGACUGUCAACAGGAGCCUGAUAUGGCAGUUCAUCACUCAGCCUCUGUGCCGGUGCUCCUGCUGCUUCUCUAAACUGGGAGCUGAUCCGAAUCUACUGCAGCGUGUGCACGUGUGUGUGCAUGUGGAUCCACGGCGCUGCGCCGACUUUCAGGGUCAAUUCAAUCUCAGUUCAGGAGGUGAACGGAAAUUCCAAUUCAGCUGCGAGCAUUUCACAUUUCAUACCUGGAAGCUGAAGCUAAGGGCCACUUCAGGAUCACUUAAAGGGUCGCGCUCCCCCUUCCUGCACAAAUGUCAGCGCAGACAGACAGACAGACAGACAGACGGACAGACAGACAGACAGGCAGACAGACAGAUAGAUAGAUAGAUACAGCAGAGACACUUCCUCUCUCUCUCUCUCUCUCUCUCUCUCUGGCAGUGGGCUGGGGUCGCAGGAAUACUUUCUGUCAGCAGUGUGACAGCUGUGUGCAUCUGGUUGUGUAGGGGCCUCUUACAGCUCAAUCCACACGUCGUUUCGCCGGUGUCUGGGCCUCCGGACUCGCUGCCACUGCUCACCUCAUUACUGACCGAGCCACACCUCCAUCUGUCCCCUUAAUAUCUAAAUCCUGCUGCAGAUUAGUGGGGG